GCGGGUGUAGCUCAGGGGGGGUAGAGCACAACCUUGCCAAGGUUGGGGGGGUCGAGGGUUCGAAUCCCUUCGCCCGCU
rnacentral:tRNA from 1 species